CCCAAUAGGUAUUACCCCCUUUUUUCUCUGCAUUAUGCUUCGGUUAGUGGUCCCGCGAGGCCAACACCCCGCACCACACUCGGAGGCAUACACCCCUCAGGCCAAUCGUGAGCUAGCCGCCUCGCAUUGUAUCAUAGAGAGGGCCUCACCUGUCACUCCCCUUCCUAUUUUCUGGUUACUGUCACCGAGAGGCCAACAUCCUGCCACAACAUUCG